AAAGCUAUUAAUUUCAAUU
rnacentral:tRNA from 1 species